AGGGGGCUGUUCCAUAAAAGCCGCUUAGAAAAGCGGGGAUUAAAGUCCAAAACCUGACUUGAAUGAGCCGAGCUAAACAUCCGCGCUUAAAUUGGUUCCAUAACAGUAAGUUGAGGAUCAUGUGAUCUUACUAAUUUGAGUCAGGUUUAAAUAGUCUAGAUAAUUGCGCGUGCACGCCAUUGUUUAAAAGUCCUGAAAAGUCGAGCAUGGGUCAAUCGAUUUACUGUGGGCUACCAUGGCAACAAAAGGAAAAGAUAGAGCAGCGAUGUUCACGGCAACGGAACAGCGUUUGCUAUUGGAAACAUAUGAAGAAUUUAAAGAUGUCAUCACCAAAAAAGGCAAUACAGCGGCAAUAAAUAAAGCAAGAGAGAAAGGUUGGCAGGAAAUUGCUGAUCGUCUCAAUGCGUAAGUAGCGGUGUAAACUAUUUAAAAUAUUUUAUCAACAUUGAAUGUGUGUCACAAUACAUUGCAAAGUUUGUGUGUGAAUAACAGUAACGUUAAUUGCUUUCACGCAGCAGCAACUUAAGUGAAGGAAAAAGAACCUGGCAGCAGGUGAAAAUAAAAUAUAAAAAUAUAGUUCAGAUUGCGACCAAAAAGAAGACUGAGGUUGCUGGCACUGGGGGAGGGCCACCACCAGCCAGCUUCACUCCUGCAGAGGAGCUGGCUUUGGAAAUUAAUAAAGGGAGGCCCGUCCUUGAGGGAAUAGAGGGGGGGACAUCAUCUAAAAUGAUAUCACGUAGUAUAAGGAGUGAGUAUAUAAAAGGUGUGUGUGUGUUUUAUUAUCAUUAUUCCUUCCUGACUAACUGAUUUCCUACUUCCUUAGGCAUUGUAAGCCUAAGUACAUCAUAGCAGUAAUGUCACGUAGAGGUACUUGUGCUACUGUAAUGGUGCAUUUUGGUAAAAAAAUAAUAUUUUUUCUAUCAAGAUUCUGUAUGCAUUAUGGAUCCACCAGACAUCAUGUUGCCUGUGAGUAUGAGACCUUUUAAAUCAGUCAUGUAAGCUAAUGAGUUUAACUGAGUUUAAUCAGUGGUCACAGGGAGAAGGCCCAUCAGUUGAGGAGGAUGAGGAGACUGUGUCUGUAUGUUCAAGGAGGCCUGAGGAUGCUGACACUGUUCUAGAGCCCUCUCAGUCUGGGACCACAUGUGACAAAAACCCAGAAAACAUAAAAGGAGUGUAUAAACGCUACCUCCUUAAACAAAUGGAAGCGAUUGAUAUCGACAUCCAGUAUAAAAAACUGAAGAUGAGGAAGUUGGAGCUGGAAAUUCAACAGCUACAGAAAAAUGCAAGUAGAACUACCAUUUUUAAAAAAGGAAAAGAAAAAAAAAAACAUUACCUUUUUGAUCACUUUCCACAACAUUUAUUUGUGUUUUCACCCCUAACAGGCAGAUUCACUCUGAAUAAAGACAAAUCACAUUAAAUACUUUGACUUCUUUGUUCAACUAAGGAGAAAGUUGAGGGGCCAGUGGAAAAU